ACCUGGGUGGCUCAGUCAGUAGGGCAUCUGACUUCAGCUCAGGUCAUGAUCUCGUGGUUGGUGGGUUCAAGCCCCACAUCAGGAU
rnacentral:tRNA from 1 species